CGUGGUUGACCUCUUGAGUUGGGAAUUCAAGAACUAAUACCAAGGAAGUGUAUCAAAGCUGACAAAACGAGCCAAAUAAGUGCAAAAAGAAAGCAACGAAGGGAGGGCAGGGGAUCAAGUAGGAAAAAUCAGUAAAUUCUAACAGAAGAAAAAUUGCUUGCAAUAAGAUGAAUAAAAAACUAAUUUUGAACUGCCAUUCACGAAAUAUAAUCAUUAAUCCCAGUGGAACAUUCUGGUCUAUCUAAUACACUCCUUUCCAGAUUUACAAAUAAUUGCUUCUCCGUCCAGGUGUACAUCUCCGUGGCUAAGCAACCACUACAAGUUGCAGUGGCGUAUCUAGGUUCCACGUUCAGCUAGGGCGGUUGACUUUGACUUUGACCAUUGAUCAUUGAUCGCCGAUAAUCAACGAUCGUAUUAAAUUUUGAUUAAAUAAUAUUAAAAAUUAUUCAAUAUAUAUGCAAAUACACUAAAAUGUUCAACACCAAGUCUCAAGUCAAUCAACACUCCAAGUACUCAAGUCAUCCAAGUGCUCAACACAUUCAACUCAACUCUCAACACCUUUAACAGACAACAAAGGGCCGGCAAAUUGCAGUUGCACAAGCACAAAUCAACAAAUACAAUACAUCAACAUACAAGAAAAACUUACAACCUCGAAAUUGUAUUCUCAGAAAGUCAGUUCAUGAAAACUUUUGACUGCAUAAACAUAGAAUAGUAGCAUAAGAUUACACUUACAACCUCGAAAUUGUAUACUCAGAAAGUCAUUUCAAACAAUACAACACACAGCCACCUUCCUGGUCAACUUGAUAUUUGGAUUCUUAGAGAUUUUAAUGAAACGAUUCUAAUUUAAGAUCCACUCUCCAACUCUUGAAUCCAAAUAAACCAUUGUCUAGUCACCUAUUACAUCCAAUAGAUGAAUAACACAAUUACACAAAAAUACAUCAAUUCAUUACAUCAAACAAUACUCAAGUCAGUCAACAGACUCAAGUCACUCUCGACACACUCAACAAACAACACAGGGCUUGAAAAUUGCAGUUGCACAACAGCACAAGCACAAAACGACAAAUCAAUUUGAAUUGUUGAAUUGCAAAUUGACAAAUCAACAAAGGGUUUGCACAAGUUUGCAAAUUGCAGUAUUCAAGACUUCAAGUUAUUCAAAUUUCAACUCACCAGUCACCUUGCCAGUCAGCAGUCGCCUCCAAGAGUCCAAGUCCAGUCCUCGGAGUCUGUCGGUCGGAGAAUGGCCCCUGAGAGUCCCUGACUUCGCACACCAAUAGUACAUAGUCCACCGCCCAUCGCCUCCAGCUGCUACUUCUGUUGUUCUAUAGCUAUGCUUCGAAUGGAAAUUUAAGGGUUUGUUGUUUACACUUGGCUGCCGGAUUCAAAUGGAGUUUUGGGGUUGAUUUGGGUUGGAAAUUGAGAAAUCAAAUUAAUACCAAUGCCAUGGACCUUGCUGCCGGUUUCAAUUCCUUAUUUGGGCCUAAUUCAUUUUUUUUUUUAAAAAGGCCCAAUCUUAAAUCAGAUAGUCCAAAUGAAAAAAAGUAAAAAUUGGGAGUCUUCUUCUCCGUUCGGCUUCCUUCUCUGCAACUGCAAAUCUGCCACUGUUGCACCUGUGCGCAGCCACCAACCUGGUGGACACAGAAGGUCCGGCGGAUCUAGCUAGGGCGGCCGCCCUAGCUCAGAGCGAGCUUGUCCUGAUCCGAUCUAAGUAUGGGCUUCUUGAACGGACAAAUCAUGACUAGAUAAUUGUCUAAGCUCUUUUUCAUCAGAUGAAAUGACGGGGUCUUGUUUUUCAUAUGAUUGCACAUUAUCAGAGAGAUCACGUUCGGAUCCUGUCUCAGUAUGGGCUUAUUGAAUAGAAAAUUCAUGAUUUGAGAAUUGUUCAUCAAAUGAAAUGUCAGGGUCUUCUUGGACAGAAAAAUCAUGAUUGAUUAAUCGUCUACUCUCUUGUUCAUCAGAUGAAAUGUCAAGAUCUUAUUUUUCAUGUGAC
rnacentral:lncRNA from 1 species